rnacentral:rRNA from 1 species
AUGCAUAAUUUUGUGAGUCUCCGAGAUGGUGAGACUUGGAUUACAAAAUGUUUUUAUUCUGAAUUUUAUUCUCAUAUUCUAUCAGAGGGGUUUGCGAUCAUUGUAGAAAUCUCAUUCUUGCUACGAGAAUUAUCUUGUCCGAAAGUGAAAGAAAUACCAAAGUUUCAAAAUUUAUGCUCUAUUCAUUCAGUAUGUCCCGGUUUAGAAGAAAUUCUUUUGCAUUUGAUUGGUUGCUCUUAG